UAAACCUAUGCCCAGGUGGGAUUCAUUUGCGAAGUUGAAUCAGCUGUAAUUUUAUCCAUUGUCAAGAAGUAUGUUUAGUUCCGUGUCGAGCUGGCUUGGCGUUGGUGAAAAACCGUCUUCACCAACGUCUUCUGACGACGAUAAAGAGAAUCAGACAUCUGAAAACACUAGUGUUUCGUCCCCAACGGAAAGUGUCAGUAGCAUUAGUGACACGAAAACAGAAGACUCUACUUCUGCCUCCGACACAGAAGAUCUGACAGCAAAACAAGCUCUCGAGGAAUUGUCUGCAAAUGCCAUCAACACUGCUAAAGAGUUUGGGAGCUUCCUGUUCAGCUUCGGCAAGGCUGCGGGAAAGACAGUGGCAGAUACAGCCAAACAACUCAAAACAACAGUUGAAGAAAAGACGAUGAUCGGUGACUUUGUGAAGGAGCAGGACAAGUUUGUGGCUGAGAAGAAGGACAUCACGAAGCAGCAGGAUGCCUCUGUGCCGCCGUGGAUCGGCUACAACGAGGAGGAAGUGAUGAAGGAACAGAUCCUGGCGCUGUCCGCGGACAAAAGGAACUUCCUACGCAAUCCCCCAUCAGGGGUACAGUUCCAGUUUGACUUCAACACCAUCCAGCCAGUUGCCAUGGCAACGCUCCACGAGGAUCCAAACUUGCAGAAAAUGAGAUUUGAACUUGUGCCAAAACUUGUGAAAGAGGAAGUGUUUUGGAGGAAUUAUUUUUACCGUGUCUCCCUCAUCAAGCAGUCCACUCAGCUUACCUCCCUUGCUCAGUCCUCAGGUAGCACAGGAGAAAGUCGCUCUACAAGCAGUUCCCGCAGAUCUUCCACAGGCAGUGAACACAGAGAAGCCACAGAAGAGACAGACUCGGUCAACAGUGAAGACUCGAGUUCCCCGAAGACAGUUCCUGCGGAGGCUGCUGAUAAGGUGGAGGACCUCCCCCCAGAGAGCCCCCCAGCUGACAAUGAGUUUGUCAGUGAUGCUUUCAAUGCUGAUGAGUUGAGUGAGGAGGACAUCAGGAAGGAGAUGAAACAGCUCGGGGUCGGGGAGGACAAGAAGGAGGCCGACUCUAAAGAAGACCAUCAUGAUGAUGAUGAUGAUGAUGUGGAUAGUGAGGAGUGGGAGAAGGAGCUGAUGGAGGAGCUGAUGGAAAUGAAGCAGUAGUUGGUUUUGCUCAGUAUCUUCACCUAACUCAGGUGCCCCCUGACAUGACUGCCGAGAAAGGCGAGGAGAUACCCCAGUGGGAGAAGGAGCUCCAACAGGAACUCCAGGAGUAUGAGAUGGUAAAUGAGGGGG
rnacentral:misc_RNA from 1 species